rnacentral:lncRNA from 1 species
CUUGACUGCUUGAGGCACUCUGGCUCUGUCCCGCCCUCACAUGUGCCACCCAUAUCCAGCUCCAGCGGUUUCCAACACUUGUACUUCAAGGGUCCUUGAUGCCAGCCUGUCCUUUGAUUCCGGGUGCCACUGGUUUCUCAAGCUGCUGAUGUCCACGCGGGGAGAAGGGUUAUCUGCUGACUCCCCAGCACCUACUACAGAAUCUUCUGAACACAGCCUCCAGAAAUACAAGGAUGAUGAUGAUGAUAAUAACAACAAUAACAGUAAUAAUGCUGUUUGA